rnacentral:lncRNA from 1 species
AUGCUCAGGAAUGAUGGGAAAACAGUGACUGUGUUUGAGCAGACGGCGAUCUGUGUCUGUUUACCUUUGGUGUGGUGUCUUCCAUUUGGGCCUGCCGGGUCACUGCCAAGCCUCAGGCCCAUGCAGGGCCUCAGCUCUGAGUGGAGGAGGCCAGUGUGUCUGGCAUACCUUUUAGCCAAAGAAGAUGGAGCUACGGCCGAUGCUCACCAGGAAUCUGCUCACCCAGAGAUGCUGGACCCUGCACAUCCUAGGAUGCUUCUUAGCAGAUGGCUCCAGAGGGCAAAGGUUUUGCAGAAGAAUCAAAUCCUGAGUGAACAGAUACUGUGGCCUGUGAAACCAAAGAGAGAUGCUGAACGUUUCAAGUCAUUUGGUGUCCGUGGACCAAACCCUGUGGAGGAACAGCCUUGUGGAGUGGAGGUGACCCCGGCUCACUCAGCCAGGCUGGCGUUGGCUUCCACUGCGCUUCAAACCCUGUGUUUACUCUGAAGUCCCACAUUUGCUUUGCAACAGCCUGAUCAUCAAAGCAGACAAAAACACAUCUGGCUGCAAAUCUCCAAACUGAUGUUUCCAAAUUUUCUCCCACUCCUCUGACUUGGAAUCACAAAAAAUUAAAAUUGUGCUUUUCCUGAAGGUUCACAAGCUGAAGCUAGUCUACCUAAUAAGUAGACUCCAGAAGAAUCACUGUGAUGGUUUGUAUAUUGACAACCUUUAUGAUAUUUAAACUGCAAACCAGGAUAAUCUGUCAGAUUGUUACUGCAUACCCUGCUCCAACUAAAGAUGCCCAGACCAGAUUUAAAAAUAUUCUCAGCUGAGGGCCCUCCAGUUGCAGACUAGAUUAUAUACUGCUCCCUAGAAAAGUCUCUUAUUAAAUAACCUGUAUGUUUGCACCAUAUCAAGACCUAGCCUUGAUGGAAGUCCUACUAUCUCCUCAAAUAGUUACAAUUGUUUAAUUGGAUAGGCCAGGAAUGGGAGAUGGGUUUAAUGGUAUCCUUUGCCACUUAGCUUCUAACUGAAAUUCUGUCUCUCCAGCCACCAAUUCAGCUUUUAGUAUGUGUGUGAAGCUUCUAGGGAAGUUUCAGACCAGGGAAUGGCAGAGCACAGAGACUGAUA